GACGAACGCUGGCGGCGUGCUUAACACAUGCAAGUCGAACGGAAAGGCCCUGCUUGCCGGGUACUCGAGUGGCGAACGGGUGAGUAACACGUGGGUGAUCUGCCCUGCACUUCGGGAUAAGCUUGGUAAACUGGGUCUAAUACCGGAUAGGAACCAUCUUUAGUGUGGUGGUUGGAAAGUUUUUUCGGUGUAGGAUGAGCUCGCGGCCUAUCAGCUUGUUGGUGGGGUAAUGGCCUACCAAGGCGGCGACGGGUAGCCGGCCUGAGAGGGUGUACGGCCACAGUGGGACUGAGGUACGGCCCAGACACCGACGGGAGGCAGCAGUGGGGAAUAUUGCACAAGGGGCGCAAGCCUGAUGCAGCGAGGCCGCGGGGGGGAGGAAGGCCUUCGGGUUGAAAACUCAUUUCGCUAGGGACGAAGCUUUUUGUGACGGUACCUAGAGAAGAAGCACCGGCUAACUACGUG
rnacentral:rRNA from 1 species